rnacentral:rRNA from 1 species
UACGUAGGGUGCGAGCGUUGUCCGGAAUUACUGGGCGUAAAGAGCUCGUAGGUGGUUUUGUCGCGUUGUCCGUGAAAACUCACAACUCAAUUGUGGGCGUGCGGGCGAUACGGGCAGACUGGAGUACUGCAGGGGAGACUGGAAUUCCUGGUGUAGCGGUGGAAUGCGCAGAUAUCAGGAGGAACACCGGUGGCGAAGGCGGGGUCUCUGGGCAGUAACUGACGCUGAGGAGCGAAAGCGUGGGGAGCGAACAGG